AGAUUUUAUCAUAAAAUGUAUGGCUAGACAAAUCUUGUGAAUGUGCAGGUCAUUGAAAAUAAGUCCAAGGUCAUUCACAUUACUGUUAGGACAACUAAUGGUGGACAAGUUAUCAUGUGUCUGUUGUAUUGUUUUUGUUUUUUUUAAUUCCAAGGACAGUUCCAUCAGCCCAUGUAUAUAACUGCUGGAUCAUAGUUGACUUUCUAGGAUAGACAACAUUCAGUUCUAGUUAGUUUUAUAUAACAUCUUGAAAUCAC